AAUACUGAGUAAUUCUAUAYUAUUAUAGAAWAUUUUAUGUURAAACUAGUAACAAGAAAAGACUUUCUCUUUAAUGYAASURUAAAUCAGAAAGGACAAGCCACUGAUAUUUAACAUCACUAAACCRAAAGUAAAAACUCACCAAGAAAACCCUACUCUCAUUUAUGUUAACCUAACACAAGAGCAUUACAAGAAAGAUUAAAAGAAAAAGAAGGAACUCGGCAAAUAUUAACCUCGCCUGUUUACCAAAAACAUCGCCUCUUGAAYCCUAUAAGAGGUCCAGCCUGCCCAGUGACUUUGUUYAACGGCCGCGGUAUCCUAACCGUGCAAAGGGGG
rnacentral:rRNA from 1 species